AAUCUUCCACAAUGGGCGCAAGUCUGAUGGCGCAACGCCUCGUGAGUGAAGAAGGUUUUCGGAUCGUAAAACUCUGUUGUAAGGGAAGAACAAGUACAAUAGUAACUGGCUGUACCUUGACGGUACCUUAUUAGAAAUCCACGGCUAACUACGUUCCUGCCGCCGCGGUAAUACGUAGGUGGCAAGCGUUGUCCGGAAUUAUUGGGCGUAAAGCGCGCGCAGGCGGUCCUUUAAGUCUGAUGUGAAAGCCCACGGCUCAACCGUGGAGGGUCAUUGGAAACUGGGGGACUGGAGUGCAGAAGAGGAAAGUGGAAUUCCAAGUGUAGCGGUGAAAUGCGUAGAGAUUUGGAGGAACACCAGUGGCGAAGGCGACUUUCUGGUCUGUAACUGACGCUGAGGCGCGAAAGCGUGGGGAGCAAACAGG
rnacentral:rRNA from 1 species